rnacentral:rRNA from 1 species
CCUACGGGAGGCAGCAGUGAGGAAUAUUGCGCAAUGGACGAAAGUCUGACGCAGCAACGCCGCGUGCAGGAUGACGGCCCUCUGGGUUGUAAACUGCUGUAGCAGGGGAAUAAUAGCCGCUUAUGGCGGUUUGAAGGUACCCUGAAAGUAAGCUCCGGCUAACUACGUGCCAGCAGCCGCGGUAAU